CCUACGGGAGGCAGCAGUGAGGAAUAUUGCACAAUGGGCGAAAGCCUGAUGCAGCAACGCCGCGUGGAUGAAGAAGGCCUUCGGGUUGUAAAAUCCUUUUCUGGAGGAAGAGAAAGGACGGUACUCCAGGAAUAAGCGUCGGCUAACUACGUGCCAGCAGCCGCGGUAAAACGUAGGACGCAAGCGUUAUCCGGAUUUACUGGGCGUAAAGCGCGUGCAGGCGGCACGGCAAGUCGGACGUGAAAGCUCCUGGCUCAACUGGGAGAGGUCGUUCGAAACUGCCGAGCUUGAGGACGGUAGAGGAGAGUGGAAUUCCGGGUGUAGUGGUGAAAUGCGUAGAUAUCCGGAGGAACACCAGUGGCGAAGGCGGCUCUCUGGGCCGUUCCUGACGCUCAGACGCGAAAGCUAGGGGAGCGAACGGGAUUAGAAACCCCGGUAGUCCUAGCCGUAAACGAUGGAGACUAGGUGUGGGGAGUAUUAACCUCUCUGUGCCGUAGCUAACGCGUUAAGUCUCCCGCCUGGGGAUUACGA
rnacentral:rRNA from 1 species